UACGUAGGGUGCAAGCGUUAAUCGGAAUACUGGGCGUAAAGCGUGCGCAGGCGGUUGUGCAAGACCGAUGUGAAAUCCCCCGGGCUUAACCUGGGAAUGGCAUUGGUGACUGCACGGCUAGAGUGUGUCAGAGGGGGGUAGAAUUCCACGUGUAGCAGUGAAAUGCGUAGAGAUGUGGGAGGAAUACCGAUGGCGAAGGCAGCCCCCUGGGAUAACACUGACGCUCAUGCACGAAAGCGUGGGGAGCAAACAGG
rnacentral:rRNA from 1 species